UACCAGCACCCCGAGUGGUCGGGACGAUUAUUGGGCCUAAAGCAUCCGUAGCCGGUUUUACAAGUCCCCCGUUAAAUCCAGCUGCUUAACAGAUGGGCUGCGGAGGAUACUAUAAGACUAGGAGGCAGGAGAGGCAAGCGGUACUCAGUGGGUAGGGGUAAAAUCCUGUAAUCCUUCGGGGAGGACCAGUGGCGAAGGCGUCACAUUAGAACGGCUCCGACAGUGAGGGACGAAGCCCUGGGGCGCAAACCGG
rnacentral:rRNA from 1 species